AUUGAACGCUGGCGGCAGGCCUAACACAUGCAAGUCGAGCGAGCGGCGGACGGGUGAGUAAUGUAUGGGGACUGCCCGAUAGAGGGGGAUAACUACUGGAAACGGUAGCUACUACCGCAUACUAUCGGAUAACCCAUAUGGGAUUAGAUAGUAGGUGAGGUAAUGGCUCACCUAGGCGACGAUCCCUAGCUGGUCAGAGUUGAUGAUCCGCCACACUUGGACUGUGCCACGGCCGUGACUCCUACGGAGGCAGCAUUGGGGAAUAUUGCACAAUGAGCGCAAGCCUGAUACAGCCAUGCCGCGUGUAUGAAGAAGGCCCUAGGGUUGUAAAGUACUUUCAGUCGGGAGGCGUUACCGACAGAAGAAGCACCGGCUAACUCCGUGCCAGCAGCCGCGGUAAUUC
rnacentral:rRNA from 1 species